UUGGGUUAAAUAUGGUUCCCGCUUCACUCCGGUUCAAAUUUUAACGGUCCAGUCAGCGACUCAGUGGACAUCAGUGGCAGCCUGCCUGAUUAUGAAAGGUAAGUAACUGUUAAUAUAAUUUUAUGAUGUAUAUAACUGUUAUAACAUUAAGUAAUGUGUGCUGAAAUGUUAAUUAAAUCCUAAAACUUUUUUAAAAUAUAAUUUAAAAAUAAUUCCCUUUAGUCAGUGUUUUUCUUCCCCAAAGAAUCAGAUUGAUUGUAAAUUAAUAUGCUAUUCCCGUUUGCUUGCUAGCAUUAAUAAAUAAAAACAUUAGCUGAAAGACUAGCAAAACUGUUUAGAGAAGUAUUACUUAACGUUAAUAAAAAUGUCUGGUGAAAUGUGAAAGGCUGGCGAAAUCUUAGGCUACAAAAGCCGCAUGGACCAUUUAUCGGAUCGGACCAGUGAAUGAAGCUGCUCGAGCGAGCUGAGCUCACACAUCAGUCAUGCGACAGACACCAGAUUCAGUGAGAAGUGUUUGAAUUCUCUGAGUUUUCUGUUAUAAAAGUUCAAAACUCAGACGAAACAGCCCAGCUAUACCAUUUCAGGAAUAAUGGAAUAGCCUGUAAUAGUCUUUUUUUUUCUUAUUAAGCUAUAACAAUUUUGCAUUUAUAUUAAAUGUGUUAUAAAUACCAAACAUGUUUAUACUUAUGUUUUUAGAUAAAUUUAUUUCUUUGUAUAGGAAAGAUUACAACAGCGGGACCUCUUCAAGAGCUUCAGUGUUUACAUCAGAACUCAGUAUUGGCCGAUGCAUGCGCGUGAUGCUGACGGAGGAGCCAGCCAAUAAAGAGUUUGCGUUCGGAUGUUGGUACUAAUAUGGUGCACUACCUCAACAAUGAGACAAGCGAGGAUCCACAUGUCUUGAUGCUUGGAGACAAAGAAAAUUCCUCCCAAGUUUUCAUCAAUUUCAGUGGAGUGGCAGUUGAAAAGAAGACCUUACUUCAAGCAGUGGAUGUAUGCUUCAAAAUGUUCUACAUCUAUGACAUAAACUACCCAAAGCCCUCUGCUCCCAUUUGGGAGUUCUUGCAGCAUGCAGUCUAUAAUAUUCCUGGAGAAUUUCCUUCUACACAUUG